rnacentral:rRNA from 1 species
UGAGGAAUAUUGGGCAAUGCCCGAAAGGGUGACCCAGCAACGCCGCGUGGAGGAUGAAGGUCGUAAGAUUGUAAACUCCUGUUAGAGGGGAAGAAUAACUAAGUUUGGAGCUUAGUAUGACUGUACCCUCAGAGAAAGCCCCGGCUAACUACGUGCCAGCAGCCGCGGUAAUACGUAGGGGGCAAGCGUUGUCCGGAUUUACUGGGUGUAAAGGGCGCGCAGGCGGAAUGGAAAGUCAGUGGUGAAAUCUCCGAGCUUAACUUGGAAACUGCCGUUGAUACUAUAGGUCUUGAAUUAUCUGGAGGUAAGCGGAAUAUGUCAUGUGGCGGUGAAAUGCUUAGAUAUGACAUAGAACACCAAUUGCGAAGGCAGCUUACUACAUAUAAAUUGACGCUGAGGCACGAAAGCGUGGGGAUCAAACA